CUGACAUUGAUGUGCUGAGAUUAGCUGCUGAAAGGGCUGCAACAUGGAACUUGAAGAAAGCAAACUGGAGUCCGUUAUCAGUGACCAGCAUAAAGAGCUACAGUACUAUCGCUGAUACGCAUCUCCAACCUGCAACAGCACAGGUAGAGGCAGACAUUGAGCCCUAGACCUUCCUAUUGUCAUAGCUGCUGGUCAAAUGAGUGCAGAAUGACUGCUAGUGUACGCUCCGGCCCUCCUCAGCCUUUGUCGUUUUGAAUGCCACACAGACAAGAUGGAUGGAUGGAUGGAUGGAUGGAUGGAUGGAUGGAUGGAUGGAUGGAUGGAAUUACUGAAAGAGAAUUAUAAAGUAUAUCCUAGCCGAGAUGUAACAUAAUAAUGUAAGUAGUACCAGUGGAGAUUAAUAAAAAAAUUUUUUUCAAAUGUCCUGUCUUGGCAUUUCAGGCAUACUAUUGUGGAAUAAUAUGCUUAAGUUAUUUUAAUAUUUAAUUAAAUAACUUAAGCAUAUCUGUCUUUGAUUAGGUGAGCGUUUAUGUAGAAAUAGGUGUGUUUGUGUUGAGCAGGUGUAUGUGAACAUGUUUGUCUGGAGCUCACAGUUGUUAUGAU